rnacentral:rRNA from 1 species
AUUGAACGCUAGCGGCAUGCUUAACACAUGCAAGUCGAACGCGAGUAAGGGGCAACUCUUACUUGAGUGGCGGACGGGUGAGUAACGCGUAGGAAUCUACCUUGUAGUGGGGGACUACUCGGGGAAACUCGAGCUAAUACCGCAUAAUCUCUACGGAGCAAAGUGGGGGAUCGUAAGACCUCACGCUAUAAGAUGAGCCUGCGUCGGAUUAGCUUGUUGGUGGGGUAAUGGCCUACCAAGGCGACGAUCCGUAGCUGGUCUGAGGGGACGACCCUACACCAUGGGACUGAGACACGGCCCAGACUCCAACAGGAGGCAGCAGUGGGGAAUAUUGGAGAAUGGGGGGAACCCUGACCCAGCAAUGCCGGGUGGGUGAGGAAGGCCUUCCGGUUGUAAAGCACUUUCAAUAGGGAAGAACAAGCUCAUGGCUAAUACCCAGGAGCCUAGACGUUACCUAUAGAAGAAGCACUGGCUAACUCUGUGCCAGCCGCCGCCGUAACAC